ACCCGUCAAACCCGCACACCCCGUCGUCAACACCCGGUUCCGUGUAGCCAAGCUCACUACUUUUAAGUAUUGAGUGUAGUUGAUCUAUCGGCCGUUUUCCCGUGUGCGUUUCUUAUUAUUUUUUUUUCCACUUUUUCAAUACGCGAUUCCCCCCCUCAUGCACUUCCUACCGUCAUAAUCCGUUGUGUCUGCCGUCGCCGCUCAAAUCACCAACCAUUGCCCCGCGAAAACAAAACCGUUUCGUCGCGCGCACGACAACCAACGCCGUCACCCUCAUCAUCCCCGAUAAAGGUCUGUUGUCGUCGUCGCCGCCGGUGAAACAGGACCAAAGCAAUAGUAAUAGCAGUAGUAGAAGUAGCAGUAGCAGCGGCAGUAUCAGUGGUUGUAACAGCAACUAUACCAACAACAACAACAACAAUAACGACAAUAACAACAGUAGCAGCACCACCAGUAGCCGUCGCCGCCGCCGCCUCCUCCUCCAUACGCCAUAUACGAUUAACGCCGCGCCGACUUUAGCAGCGGCAGCAGCAACAGCUAUAACAACAACGGCAGUAUCCUCGACAGACGCAGAAAUGGAGCCCCAAGACACGAGCAUGACGAACCUGAUAAUCAACUAUCUACCACAGUCGAUGACCGAUAAAAAACUGCACCAAAUGUUCACCCAGAUCGGACAAAUCGAAGCGUGUCGGGUUAUGAAAGACGUCAAAACUGGAUAUAGUUUUGGUUUUGGUUUUGUCAACUUUGUUCGUCCUGAAGAUGCUUCUAGAGCUAUUGAGGUAAUGAAUGGUCUCCAAGUUGAAAAUAAACGUUUAAAAGUAUCUUAUGCUCGUCCUGCUGGAGAAGAUAUCAAAGAUACAAACCUUUAUGUUCAAAAUUUACCAAGAUCAAUAACAGAAAGAGAACUUGAAGAUCUAUUUGCUCCUUAUGGUCAAAUUGUUCAAAAAAAUAUACUUAAAGACAAAUAUAGUGGACUUCCUAGAGGAGUAGCUUUUGUUCGUUAUAACAAAAAAGAAGAUGCCCAAAAAGCAAUUAUUCAGCUAAACGGUGUUUUGUUGGAAGGAUGCACAGAGCAUCUAUCAGUGAAAAUAGCAGAGGAACAUGGCAAACAAAAGGCAGCUUAUUUGGCCGGUCUGCAAACUGGUUUAGCGCACAGAGGUACAAAUGACACCCUCACAUACUUAAGCUACUAGAUAACAAAAGAAAAAAGAAAAAAACCUAAAAAUUUCCCUCCCCCCCAAUCAAUAAUCUGUUUCAAUGUCUUCGAAGUUACAUGUCAUAGAUCAGAAACAAAAUGUAAUACCUUGAAUUCUGGCGCUACGAUUUUCUGGGCUAAAAAUCUACAAAAUAUGCAUCAAUUAAUCAGAGCUAAUCAUGUUAUUGACAAGUAUCCCAAUCCAUUGUUGCAGCAUGUUGAAAGACAUACUAUUGGUGCUUUGCGCCAAGAUAGGGCUAGUUACCGCCAUACA
rnacentral:misc_RNA from 1 species